GACGAACGCUGGCGGCGUGCCUAAUACAUGCAAGUCGAACGCAGUGGGGACGGGUGAGUAACACGUGGGUAACCUCCCAUCAGAGGGUAUAAAACUUGGAAACAGGUGCUAAACCGACACUGAUGGAUGUACCCGCGGUGCAUUAGCUAGUUGGUGAGGUAACGGCUCACCACGGCCACGAGGCAUAGCAGACCUGAGAGGGUGAACGGCCACACUGGGACUGAGACACGGCCCAGACUCCUACGGUAGGCAGCAGUAGGGAAUCUUCGGCAAUGGAGGAAAGUCGAAUCGAGCAACGCCGCGUGAGUGAAGAAGGUUUUAGGAUCGUAAAACUCUGUUGUUAGAGAAGCGGUAUCUAACCAGAAAGCCACGGCUAACUACGUGCCAGCAGCCGCGGUAAUUC
rnacentral:rRNA from 1 species